UCCAUUUAGCGGGAAGGUUUAAUUAAAUGAUUAUUACUAAGAAGAGGGAAUUAAUAAGUAGAAACUAGACAUAAUACAAGUUAUUAUUAUGCCAACUUAAGGUACACUCUCAUAUAUGCAAAUGUGCAGAACUUGGAUGCAAACAGUUCAUGUAUUUGGAGGAACCUACAGCUCAUGUCAAUAAGUUAGCAAAGAUCUGUGGCAACUGUUUCAUGAACAGUUCAAGGUUUUAAUGUAUCAAGCAAAUGCCAACAAGAAGU
rnacentral:lncRNA from 1 species